rnacentral:lncRNA from 1 species
ACAAACAGAUAUCUUGGAGAGAAUAUAAAUCUUUCCCUCCUCCAAUUUGUGUACGAAUCUUUCCCUGUUGAACUUCAACACCUUUCCAUGUAUGCGACUUCCCUGUUUGUUGUAGCAGUAUGUUUAUAACGAUAAUUUUCAAGAACAAAAUAAAAAAUAUAUAUUAAUGUUUAGGGUAGACAAUAUACUUGUUCAUCCAUGAAGAUGUAGUCCAAACCUGAUGGCCCCCCUGUUUUUGGAUCUAUUCCUUCCCAAAAUUUGAAGACCCUAACCUUUAUCCUCCAUGGAGCAAAACUGUUUUUAAGAUCGGCAAUGAGAGAUAGUUUGUUGUUUGCCAUUC